rnacentral:misc_RNA from 1 species
UUAAGUUCAGCGGGUAGUCCUACCUGAUUUGAGGUCAAGUAUUCAAAAAGUUGUCUCAAACUGAGACGAUUAGAAGCUGAACAACACAGAGAGCAAUCCCCUCGCCAGUGUAGAUAGUUUAUCACACUUGUGGCAGAUCGCAAACGGUUCCGCUAAUGCAUUUCAGAGGAGCUGACCGCAAACAAGUUGCCAGCAAACCU